CCUACGGGUUGCAGCAGUGGGGAAUAUUGCACAAUGGGGGAAACCCUGAUGCAGCCAUGCCGCGUGUGUGAAGAAGGCCUUCGGGUUGUAAAGCACUUUCAGUAGGGAGGAAGGUAGUGUAGUUAAUACCUGCAUUAUUUGACGUUACCUACAGAAGAAGCACCGGCUAACUCCGUGCCAGCAGCCGCGGUAAUACGGAGGGUGCGAGCGUUAAUCGGAAUUACUGGGCGUAAAGCGCAUGCAGGCGGUCUGUUAAGCAAGAUGUGAAAGCCCGGGGCUCAACCUCGGAACAGCAUUUUGAACUGGCAGACUAGAGUCUUGUAGAGGGGGGUAGAAUUUCAGGUGUAGCGGUGAAAUGCGUAGAGAUCUGAAGGAAUACCGGUGGCGAAGGCGGCCCCCUGGACAAAGACUGACGCUCAGAUGCGAAAGCGUGGGGAGCAAACAGGAUUAGAUACCCCAGUAGUC
rnacentral:rRNA from 1 species